rnacentral:rRNA from 1 species
CCCUACGGGAGGCAGCAGUGGGGAAUAUUGGACAAUGGGGGGAACCCUGAUCCAGCGACGCCGCGUGAGUGAAGAAGUACUUCGGUAUGUAAAGCUCUAUCAGCAGGGAAGAAAGAAAUGACGGUACCUGACUAAGAAGCCCCGGCUAACUACGUGCCAGCAUCCGCGGUACUACGUAGGGGGCAAGCGUUAUCCGGAUUUACUUGGGGUAAAGGGAGCGAAGGCGCCAAGGUAAGCCAGAGGUAAAAGCCCG